UACGAAGGGUGCAAGCGUUACUCGGAAUUACUGGGCGUAAAGCGUGCGUAGGUGGUUCGUUAAGUCUGAUGUGAAAGCCCCGGGCUCAACCUGGGAAUGGCAUUGGAAACUGGCGGACUCGAGUGUGGCAGAGGGGGGUGGAAUUCCGCGUGUAGCAGUGAAAUGCGUAGAGAUGCGGAGGAACACCGAUGGCGAAGGCAGCCCCCUGGGCUAACACUGACGCUCAGGCACGAAAGCGUGGGGAGCAAACAGG
rnacentral:rRNA from 1 species